UAAUAUAAAUGAAAUAAACUGGGUUAUAAAAUGUAAAUUUUCAAGUUUGAGAAUAUGUGCACAUAUUCAAAAAAGGAAAUGAAAAGCAAUUUUGACUUUCUUUAGUAAAGUCGGUGAAGGUGAAGGGAAACUAAUCUUCCAAAAGGAGAUUUUGAAAAUAGAGGAUAGCGGAAUGUCGGCAAAAAGAAAUACUAAUAAAUAUAUUAAGAAUGGAAAAUAGUAAUGCAAAAUAAGCAAUUUUAACCAGAAAGAAAAA